rnacentral:tRNA from 1 species
GGAGGGGUGGCAGAGUGGUCGAAUGCACCGGUCUUGAAAACCGGCGUGCCGAAAGGUACCGUGGGUUCGAAUCCCACCCCCUCUGCCA